UUCCGUCGUGACAUAACUAAUCUAAAAGUGAUUAAUCUAUUCGUCCAGCACAGUAUUAUUCCAAGAAUAAUAUUUUCGGAACGUCUCUUCAGUUCGUGACCAUUCGCGACCGCCAUUGUGCUCAAGUCGUCAGAACCAAGGCCUUCUGUCAGAGAACCGAGCAAGCGUCCCAGUCCUCGAAGGUGACUCUGCGGAAGAACAGCUUCCGACAGAAACUUCGGAACAGAUUCAAGAACUGUCGAAAGCCACUGAGCAUUGAGCAACGCCGUCAUCGACACGGAAAGACGAGCCAGGGGCAUCGAUGUGAAAAAGCGUGCGGCAGCUGAAGAGGGGAUGCCGGGGAUGUUUCCCAAAACGAAGAAGUCGAAGCUAGACAUCCGCACCGAAACCGCCAAGUUCAGUGCCAAGCUAAAGCACACCGAUGUCACUCACAAGACAUCUGUUCUCAAAGAUUCCUUCGAGGUUCGGCGGAUAUGCCUCACGAGCAACCGAAACCGGAAGACUGGCGAGGAGAUGAAGGAGAUAUUCCCGGAUAUGUACAGCGAAGCUGCCGUGUGGACUGACUUGGGAAUGAUCAUGGGGCUCGAGGAGGACGUGA